rnacentral:rRNA from 1 species
CGUGCUACCAUGCAAGUCGAACGGCAGCACAGUAAGAGCUUGCUCUUACGGGUGGCGAGUGGCGGACGGGUGAGGAAUGCAUCGGAAUCUACUCUGUCGUGGGGGAUAACGUAGGGAAACUUACGCUAAUACCGCAUACGACCUACGGGUGAAAGCAGGGGAUCUUCGGACCUUGCGCGAUUGAAUGAGCCGAUGCCCGAUUAGCUAGUUGGCGGGGUAAGAGCCCACCAAGGCGACGAUCGGUAGCUGGUCUGAGAGGAUGAUCAGCCACACUGGAACUGAGACACGGUCCAGACUCCUACGGGAGGCAGCAGUGGGGAAUAUUGGACAAUGGGCGCAAGCCUGAUCCAGCCAUACCGCGUGGGUGAAGAAGGCCUUCGGGUUGUAAAGCCCUUUUGUUGGGAAAGAAAAGCAUUCGGUUAAUACCCGAUUGUUCUGACGGUACCCAAAGAAUAAGCACCGGCUAACUUCGUGCCAGCAGCCGCGGUAAUACGAAGGGUGCAAGCGUUACUCGGAAUUACUGGGCGUAAAGCGUGCGUAGGUGGUUGUUUAAGUCUGUCGUGAAAGCCCUGGGCUCAACCUGGGAAUUGCGAUGGAAACUGGGCGACUAGAGUGUGGCAGAGGGUAGUGGAAUUCCUGGUGUAGCAGUGAAAUGCGUAGAGAUCAGAAGGAACAUCCGUGGCGAAGGCGGCAUCCUGGGCCAACACUGACACUGAGGCACGAAAGCGUGGGGAGCAAACAGGAUUAGAUACCCUGGUAGUCCACGCCCUAAACGAUGCGAACUGGAUGUUGGGUGCAACUUGGCACCCAGUAUCGAAGCUAACGCGUUAAGUUCGCCGCCUGGGGGAGUACGGUCGCAAGACUGAAACUCAAAGGAAUUGACGGGGGCCCGCACAAGCGGUGGAGUAUGUGGUUUAAUUCGAUGCAACGCGAAGAACCUUACCUGGCCUUGACAUGCACGGAACUUUCCAGAGAUGGAUUGGUGCCUUCGGGAACCGUGACACAGGUGCUGCAUGGCUGUCGUCAGCUCGUGUCGUGAAAUGUUGGGUUAAGUCCCGCAACGAGCGCAACCCUUGUCCUUAGUUGCCAGCACGUAAUGGUGGGGAAA